UUGAAUAAACUUGAACAGGCUGUUUUGCUGGCUCUCCUGAGCAUGUGCACGCUUGUCCAUCUUUACUUCUCCAACUGUGCACUUGUUGUAGACCCUGGAAGUCUUGGUUAUUUUACAUUCUGUAAUAGAUUGAGGACUGCUGUGCCACAUCUUACAAGGCCAGCUUUUCCUUGCAAUUUCCAGGUCUAUGGUUUUUUUUUUUUUCCUUCCACGACAUGUUUUUAGAAUGUUGAAUUGGGAAUAUAUACAUAUA
rnacentral:misc_RNA from 1 species